AAAUCUCAUGAAAUUGGCAAUCAAGGUUAACCACUGAAGUGCCAAAUAAUGGGUAGUUUUAAAGUUUGUCCUAGUUUGCUUCCCGUUGCUGUGAUAAAUACCAUGCUUGACCAAAAGCAACUCUGGGAGGAAAGAGUUUUAUUUGGUUUAAAUUUCCAGGUCACAAUGCAUCUAGCUUCUGCUCAGCUGUCUUUCAAAUACAGGCCAGGACUCCCUGCCUAGCUAAGUACUACCUCCAGUGGCUGGCACUCCCCCAUAAGGACGCAGUCAAGAAAAUGCCCUACAACUCUGCCCACAGGCCAACCUAAUGGAUGCAGUUCUUCAGUUGAGGUUCCUUUCCCUAAGUGUUGUUGGGUUGACCACCAAGAUUCACCUUCACAGAUGGUAACCCCGGUGAUAAUGACGAUGGUGACACAUGAGAGUAGAGAAAAUGACAUCACAAUUCACCUCAGAAUCGACUGCUUCUCUGGCACUCUCCUUUCUGUCUUACACUAUUUAGUCCCUUUCACUCAAGGUUGGAUCCCUCCCAGCUGGAAACAAAGCAUCAGUUUAAAACGUAAAAAGGCAAAAAUAAUGAUGUUUCCUCUCAAUCUGUCAGAAAGCCACACUGAAGCCUGCAGAGCGACUUCGCAAGGUGUGAUUUAAUAUCAUCAAUAACGGGAUACAGUUUAACCUGUCAGAGCCCUUAGAGUUUUAGAAAAAAAAACUUAGAAAUUGAUGAAUGUGAACAACAACAAAGAAGUGGUGCUCAGAGGGAGACAGGGGCGAGGUGUUAAUUGCCUAAAGAGAGACGGCAAGCCCAGAUGAGAAGAAAUGCCUCCUUUCUGACAGACAUGAUGGAAAGAAGAGAACAAUCUGACUUCAAAGACAGAAAGAAAAAAAACCACUAACCUCUCAUCAGAAUUUGUAGGAUAAAAUUGACAGUUCACUCUGAAAGUUGAUCUCCCAGUGUGGGUUUAAGUCACUGACUUGAGAGCUCACUUUAUUUACAGUAAUGCUUGCGGCUUUAUGAAAUUUGCUACAAGACAGUUUACAACUCCCAGUAUUUAAAAGCAAAGUCUCUCCCCUCCUCCAAAUUGAGAUGUAACUGCAAGCUGUUCAUGACUCUUUUAACUCAAAAGCUUCAUCUCAUGUCAACAAGACAUGGUAAUAAAACCCAGUAGACUUUACUACAAAGCAAAUUCAAGUGUGGCGGACGGUGUGGUCACCUGUCUCGAAGGGUGAAGUGUGAAACUGAAGAAUGGAAAGCUGGAUCACGAGGACAACCAUUUUACCGUCUUCCAGUGCUCCACUUCCCAGCCAGGCCCUUCUGUCUAACACAUGCCUUAUUUUCACUGUAUACAUCCAUCUUUAUUUUAUAAUGAAACAAACUUCUAGGUG